rnacentral:rRNA from 1 species
UGACGGUACCCAAAGAAUAAGCACCGGCUAACUUCGUGCCAGCAGCCGCGGUAAUACGAAGGGUGCAAGCGUUACUCGGAAUUACUGGGCGUAAAGCGUGCGUAGGUGGUCGUUUAAGUCCGUUGUGAAAGCCCUGGGCUCAACCUGGGAACUGCAGUGGAUACUGGACGACUAGAGUGUGGUAGAGGGUAGCGGAAUUCCUGGUGUAGCAGUGAAAUGCGUAGAGAUCAGGAGGAACAUCCAUGGCGAAGGCAGCUACCUGGACCAACACUGACACUGA